AACGAACGCUGGCGGCGUGGAUAAGACAUGCAAGUCGAGCGACUAUUCCGGGGUAGCAAUAUUCCGGGGUGGGAGCGGCGCAAGGGUGCGUAACACGUGGGUAAUCUGCCAUGAAGAUUGGGAUAACUUGCUGAAAGGCGAGCUAAUACCGGAUGUGAAUAUUGGGAGGCAUCUCUUGAUAUUUGAAGUUGGGGACCGCAAGGCCUGACGCUUCAUGAUGAGCCCGCGGCCUAUCAGCUUGUUGGUGAGGUAGUGGCUCACCAAGGCUUCGACGGGUAGCCGGCCUGAGAGGGUGACCGGCCACACUGGGACUGAGACACGGCCCAGACUCCUACGGGAGGCAGCAGUGGGGAAUAUUGGACAAUGGGCGAAAGCCUGAUCCAGCAACGCCGCGUGAGGGAUGACGGCCUUCGGGUUGUAAACCUCUUUCACCUCUGACGAAGCGCAAGUGACGGUAAGGGGAGAAGAAGGACCGGCCAACUACGUGCCAGCAGCCGCGGUAACAC
rnacentral:rRNA from 1 species